rnacentral:rRNA from 1 species
GGGCCCGCACAAGCGGUGGAGCAUGUGGUUCAAUUCGACGCAACGCGAAGAACCUUACCCAGGCUUGAACAGCGAGUGACCAACUCCGAAAGGGGUCUUCCGCAAGGACACUCGUAGAGGUGCUGCAUGGCUGUCGUCAGCUCGUGUCGUGAGAUGUUGGGUUAAGUCCCGCAACGAGCGCAACCCUUGUUUGCUGUUGCCAUCACGUUAUGGUGGGCACUCUGCAAAGACUGCCGGUGAUAAACCGGAGGAAGGUGGGGAUGACGUCAAGUCAGCAUGGCCUUUAUGUCUGGGGCUACACACGUGCUACAAUGGCCGGUACAAACCGUCGCGAUACCGUAAGGUGGAGCUAAUCGGAGAAAGCCGGUCUCAGUUCGGAUUGUCGGCUGCAACUCGCCGGCAUGAAGUUGGAAUCGCUAGUAAUCGCGGAUCAGCACGCCGCGGUGAAUACGUUCCCGGGCCUU